rnacentral:rRNA from 1 species
ACGGAUCCUUCGGGAUUAGUGGCAGACGGGUGAGUAACGCGUGGGAAGCUACCUUGUGGUAGGGGACAACAGUUGGAAACGACUGCUAAUACCCUAUGAGCCCUAUGGGGGAAAGAUUUAUCGCCAUGAGAUGUGCCCGCGUUAGAUUAGCUAGUUGGUAAGGUAAUGGCUUACCAAGGCGACGAUCUAUAGCUGGUCUGAGAGGAUGAUCAGCCACACUGGGACUGAGACACGGCCCAGACUCCUACGGGAGGCAGCAGUGGGGAAUAUUGGACAAUGGGGGCAACCCUGAUCCAGCCAUGCCGCGUGUGUGAUGACGGCCUUAGGGUUGUAAAGCACUUUCAGCAGUGAAGAUAAUGACAUUAACUGCAGAAGAAGCCCCGGCUAACUUCGUGCCAGCAGCCGCGGUAAUACGAAGGGGGCUAGCGUUGUUCGGAAUCACUGGGCGUAAAGAGUACGUAGGCGGACUGAUAAGUUAGGGGUGAAAUCCCAAGGCUCAACCUUGGAACUGCCUUUGAUACUGUC